rnacentral:tRNA from 1 species
UAUGUACUGGUGUAUAGGGCACGAUAAGUUUUGAUCUUAAAGGGGGUGGUGUAAUUCCACCGUUCAUAA